rnacentral:lncRNA from 1 species
UUGGAAUGUAACUCUGUCAAAAUCUUUAAAUUUUUCUCGCCUUGUCGACUUUUGUCCAGAAAUGGUCAAAUGUACUGGAAAGUCAAAGACUGCGUUCAGGAAGGAGUUGUGGUCCUUUAUAAUCUUUGUCGGAAAAGCAUGAAAAGACCUAGAGCUUGUACAGGAACCCCAGGCAACUAGUCACCCAAAGUUGCGAUAUAUAUCACCUUCUACUUGGAUUGACAAGGCACUAUGAUGUGAUUGAAUAGCGCGUCUAUUGGCACGUGGGUUCUGGCACUAUUCAAUGUGCACAAUUUAUUUAAGCCAUCACUUGUGUCAAUUGAGAUUAAUGCUAAUAUUUUCUUGUCACGUGAUUGAUCAAUGCAAUACAGGUUUGACUGAACAUGAUGUCAUUAACUAGGCAACUUUUCUUUAAUCAAAUAAUGAGAAGAUUUUAUUGUCCAGUAUUCAUGGAGAUAGAUUCUAUGUUUUCAUGUAGUAUAAUCUGUGCAGCAUGGGUUUAUCGACCUGUAAAAUUGUAUUGGAUGUCCUCAACUGCAUGUUUGGUUUGGAAGAGUAAUUUUUCAUAAUUCAACUAGCUGUUAACCUUAACUGUACUCUAUGACAGUAUUAGCCCUACACACUGUUUUUCACUUUCUUCCCAACUGGACGUAGUCCUUUUGUAAAUUCAGUUGCAAACAUCAUACGAUCAUUUCUACCUGCCGCAUCACUGUAGAUUUUUAUGCUAUGGAAGGGUGUAAAGCCAAGCAAAGGAAUGUAUUUUUUUACUUUUAAAAGAAAUAAAAACGUAGAACCCCUUUGAUAAUCUUGUCUCCAAUGACAUAACUGGGAUCCAAGUGGUAGAAAAAAGAUGAUCUAUCUGAAUAUAUGUGCAAGUCAAGAUAAUUUGUAUUUCUCAUUAAUCGGUGAGUUAGUAAACUGAGGAAUUAGUAAAAAGGAAAGUGAUAGUUGACAUAAAAUAAAAGAUUUGGUUACAUAUUUAUGGUUUUGUCAGUAAAUUGUCUGACCACGAGAAAAAAAUAAGGCUUCCUAUCAAAAAAUUAUUUAAAUGAGAGAUAUGUGUAACUUAUACACUGAUGAAAGGCAUUAAAUGAUGUUGCUUAUAUACCAACGAUAUUUAUAUUUUUAAGUUGUAAAUAUAUGGUGUGUACAGUCUACUGAUUCUUAAUCUAGUACUUCAAUUUCUUAUGUCUUUUUGUGAUUUAUUACAAAUUUUCUUCUUUCUCCUUUUACGUAGGGGGCCUGGGGAAUGUAUGUUAGUUGGCAAUUUAUUAGAUAUCUAUUAACGUGUAGGGGAAAUGAUAUGAGCAUUCAUCUUUCAUUAGAACUUCAACUGCUGCUUAUUUAUUUACUUAUUUUUGUUUUGGUGACCGCAGGUUCACUUCUGUAAUGAAAGGAAACGGGAAUCUGUAGCCUUGGGUGUUUGCUUGAAAAAUGAAGUGGAAAUAAAAGGUCCAUCAAAUAUUUAUGACAUGAAAACUAUUUAUAUAUGAAAAUAUUGUGACUGAUUGUCUAUCACUCGUGGUUCAUGAUUGUUUUUCCUUCAAAUACAACUUACAUACUCUUCCAUCAAAAUUAAUCGUCUACAAACCAAUAAAAAAAUGACUAAAUGGAAAAUUAUGAACAUUCAAAGCGAGAUUUAUUUUUCAUUAGCCCUGUCUUUUUUUAUUUUUAAAUUUUGUAGAUGAUUUGUUGAAUCAUCUUUGUGCCUUUUUGGCUAAGCUUGGUCACAUAUGAAUGUGUCGUUACCAUUUGGGAGUUUACCUUUGAUUGGAGUAGAGAUUGG